rnacentral:rRNA from 1 species
AACGAACGCUGGCGGCAUGCCUAAUACAUGCAAGUCGAACGAGAUCUUAGGAUCUAGUGGCUCACGGGUGCGUAACGCGUGGGAAUGUGCCGUUGGGUUUGGAAUAAUUUUUGUAAAUGGAAGCUAAUACCGGAAGAUUACGGAAGAUAAAAGAUCUAUCGCCCAAGGAUGAGCCGGGGUAGUAUUAGGUAGUUGGGGAUGUAAAGGCUCAUCAAGCCGACGAUACUUAGCUGGUCUGAGAGGAUGAUCAGCCACACUGAGACUGAGACACGGCCCAGACUCUUACGCGAGGCAGCAAUAGCUAAUAUUGGACAAUCGCCUAAAGCCUGAUCCACCAAUGCCGCUUGAGUCAUUAAGUCCUUAAAGUUAUAAAGCUCUUUUACCCCCCAUGAUAAUGACAGUACCCAAAGAAUAAGCUCCGGCUAACUUCGUG